GAUGAACGCUAGCGGCAGGCUUAACACAUGCAAGUCGAGGGGCAGCACGGUAGCAAUACUGGUGGCGACCGGCAAACGGGUGCGGAACACGUACAGAACCUACCUUGAUCUGGGGCAUAGCCCGGAGAAAUCCGGAUUAACUCCCCAUAACAUAGAUGAGUGGCAUCACUUGACUAUUAAAAAUUUAUUGGAUCGAGAUGGCUGUGCGUCCCAUUAGCUAGUUGGUAGGGUGACGGCCUACCAAGGCGACGAUGGGUAGCUGGUGUGAGAGCACGACCAGCCACACGGGCACUGAGACACGGGCCUGACUCCUACGGGAGGCAGCAGUGAGGAAUAUUGGUCAAUGGACGGAAGUCUGAACCAGCCAUCCCGCGUGCAGGAUGAAGGUCCUAUGGAUUGUAAACUGCUUUUAGCAGAGACGAAGACCCAUCAUUGAUGGUGGAGUGACGGUAUCUGCAGAAUAAGCACCGGCUAACUCCGUG
rnacentral:rRNA from 1 species